rnacentral:rRNA from 1 species
UACGAAGGUGGCAAGCGUUACUCGGAAUUACUAGGCGUAAAGGGCAGGUAGGUUGUUUGGUUAGUCUGUUGUGAAAGCUCCUUGCUUAACGGGGAGAGGUCAACAGAUACUGCCAGACUUGAGUAUGGGAGAGGGUACUGGAAUUCCCGGUGUAGCGGUGAAAUGCGCAGAGAUCGGGAGGAACACCAAUGGCGAAGGCGGGUCUCUGGACAGUUCCUGACACUGAGGCACGAAGGCCAGGGGAGCAAACGGG